rnacentral:rRNA from 1 species
GAUGAACGCUGGCGGCGUGCCUAAUACAUGCAAGUCGAGCGAACGGACGAGAAGCUUGCUUCUCUGAUGUUAGCGGCGGACGGGUGAGUAACACGUGGAUAACCUACCUAUAAGACUGGGAUAACUUCGGGAAACCGGAGCUAAUACCGGAUAAUAUUUUGAACCGCAUGGUUCAAAAGUGAAAGACGGUCUUGCUGUCACUUAUAGAUGGAUCCGCGCUGCAUUAGCUAGUUGGUAAGGUAACGGCUUACCAAGGCAACGAUGCAUAGCCGACCUGAGAGGGUGAUCGGCCACACUGGAACUGAGACACGGUCCAGACUCCUACGGGAGGCAGCAGUAGGGAAUCUUCCGCAAUGGGCGAAAGCCUGACGGAGCAACGCCGCGUGAGUGACGAAGGUCUUCGGAUCUUAAAACUCUGUUAUUAGGGAAGAACAUAUGUGUAAGUAACUGUGCACAUCUUGACGGUACCUAAUCAGAAAGCCACGGCUAACUACGUG